rnacentral:rRNA from 1 species
AGAGUUUGAUCAUGGCUCAGAACGAACGUUAGCGGCGCGCUUAACACAUGCAAGUCGUGCGAGAAAGGGGAAACCCCGGUAAAGCGGCGCACGGGUGAGUAACACGUAGGUAAUCUGCCCCUGGGUGGUGGAUAACCUUCCGAAAGGAGGGCUAAUACAGCAUGAGACCACGCUCUCGUAAGAGAGCGCGAUCAAAGCCG